rnacentral:rRNA from 1 species
AGGAUGAACGCUGGCGGCGUGCCUAACACAUGCAAGUCGAACGUCCUGUCUCGCAAGAGGCAGGGAGUGGCGGACGGGUGAGUACCACGUGGGUCAUCUACCGUGAGGUGAGGAAUACCGGCGAGAAAUCGCCGACAAGACCGCAUAGGCUCGAUGCAAGUCGAGCAAAGCUCUUUCGAGAGAGGGAGCGCCACACGAGGAGCCUGCGCCCGAUUAGCUAGCUGGUGGAGUAACGGUUCACCAGGGCGACGAUCGGUAGCUGGUCUGAGAGGACGAUCAGCCACACUGGGAUUGAGAACGGCCCAGACUCCUACGGGGGCAGCAGUGAGGAAUUUCGUCAAUGGGGGCAACCCUGAACGAGCAACGCCGCGUGCAGGAAGAGGUUUUCGGAUCGUAAACUGCUUUUCUCGGGGAAGAGAACGGACGGUACCCGAGGAAUCAGCCCCGGCUAACUACGUGCCAGCAGCCGCGGU